rnacentral:lncRNA from 1 species
UAAUGUUUCACUGGUAAGUACCUUCACGAGUGACUGUUACUUGUGAAAACCCAGGCACUUAAACUGCUCCAUGGGAGGAUGCAGGUGCUAAACUCUUUGUCAGCUGGGUUCUCUGAACAUCUAUGAGUCUGGCCUAGCUUACAAAAUUAUUUCCGUUAACACCAUCUCAUAACUCUGAGUCGAAUAUUCACCAGACAAAUAAUGGUUUAAUCUUCUAAAACUUCAAGAUACAAGACUAAAGUUUUGAAGGAUGCAAGGAAGCCAAAUAGUUACACUAGCAGAAUGAAAUUCCAGAUUGCUAUACGGUUUCUAGACUAUAUGUCAUAGAGCUAAGCUAGACCUUUCUCAUUUCCUACUAAUAAUCAUUAAGAAGUAUUUGUCUUCUAAUUAUCCUAUCAUUACUUCUGAAUAAUGAAUUGAAUCUUUGCUUUUUCUUAAACAGUAACUUUAUGCCUGAUAUAGCUUAAACCAGGACAUGGGCUGAGCAACCAAAAUGCAACAUCACUUAUACUGUAAGAAAAACUUGAACUUUGCACUUACAAGUAUGUAAACUUUGCUUUCAGGCAGAAGUUAGUGGUGGCUAGAGCAAGACAGAAUGAAAUAGAGGACCUGGGAAGGGCCUAGAGACCCCCAAUAAACUGGGACCCCCCACAUGUAGGCACUGCACAAAUGCUUAAAGCAUUAGUAUUCGUAGAACUGCACAUCCUCCAGUGACCAAGAAAGAAGGGAAGGGAGAGCAUCCUGAAGUCAUACAGCAGAGAUUUUAGAUUUUCUCGAUUUAGACUUACGUUUGAGAUCAUCACACUAUGAGUUAGAAUAUGAACGGGUGUGUUCAGGAGGGAGAAGACAUCUGAGAGAGACUUUUGAAGUGUUUCUGGAUCACUGA